AUCCGAUAAAGUAUCCCUCUAGUACUGGCGGUGGCGAUUGACCAUGCCCGAACUACUGAUUUGGCUGGUUCCUACAUGGGUACUUUCCGGACUAACCCUAUGGUAAACGAACGCCGAACCACUCAAAGAAGAGACAAAAAAUGUUGCUCUGUAUACUCUACAACCCACCGCGCACCAGCCACCGAACUAGUUCGGUUUGGAUGCAACGUCUCACCAGUAGACGAAGAAACGAAAAAGCAUGAGAGGAAAAUGAAGAGAGCAGGUAGCUACAAAUGAUGCUGAUCUGCUCUUCUCCUUUCCCUUUUCUGUUUUCGUAAGUCAAAGCAAAUGUAUAGCAAACGGCAUUUGUGUAGGCUCAAUAAAGAAAUAUAAGACAAAUAUGCAGCCAAACAUAAUCGUGUUAGCGGAGAAACAGUGUCGUGCAGUGAAAUAGAAAAAGUUUAAGGCCGCGAAAUAGGAGAGACAAUCGACGAAAAUGAAACAAAUGGAAAGUGACACUGAAAAAUUUAAAGAACUUCUUUAGAGUUUUGAUUGAUGCCAUAACUGUAGAUACGGGGACUGGAUCAGCUGAAGUCCAGAUUAGGAAGGCCCUACAGCUGCAAAAAAAACAUUUUUUCAAAAACAGUACCACCGCGAACAGCAGACCUUAAUUAGUCAAUUUAAAAACUUAAAU